UUACCAAAAACCAUUCCCAUUAUAGCAUUCUUUCGUUACGUGGAGGUUCAGGUUACACGACAAAGAUGAGAGACUAUUCUCGGUGGUCUAAAAAACGACUUUGUUUUAGACAAAACGGUGCGUAGUUGUUUUUAGAAAACGGCAGGUAGUUUGCGUCUCAAAGGAUAUAUCUGUUACCAAACAGAAGAG
rnacentral:antisense_RNA from 1 species